AGGAGAAUCGCUUGAACCCGGGAGGUAGAGGUCGCAGUGAGCCCCAACAGUGCCACUGUACUCCAGUCUGGGUGACAGAGUGAGACUCAGUUUCAAAAAUAAAUAAA